UGACGUUAGGCCGCUGCACGCCGGAAGUGGCAGCUGAACGGGGGCACUGAGGUGUCGGCCGGCGGGGCAGUGGCCCGGAGCGGGGGGCGGGGGCGUUGGUCAUGUUUCCCUUCGGGCCUCAUAGCCCUGGAGGGGACGGAUCGGCCGGAGCCGGGGCUGAGGAGCCGGCGCCCCACGAGGGGCAGGCAGCAGCCACUAGGCCGCCCUCGCCGCUACAUCCCGGGGCUGAUGAGACCCAUCCCCCUCCACCUGCCCGGAGCCCUCGCCGCCCCGGUGCCCCAUCGCUGUCCCCGGCCCCGCGCUCCGGAGAGCUCGGGCUGCCCGGAGCUCCGGAGUCCUCGGCUGCCUCCGCCCAGGGAGAGCCGUCACCUCCCUCCCCUCCGCGCCGGCGGCCCGGGCCAGACUGCAAGGCCGAGAGCCGGGGCCGACACGGCCUCUGCGCGGGCCUGGGCGGCCCUGGCGCCAGGCUGUUCGGGUGGCUGAAAGAGCGCAGCCUGGGCCGCGGGCUGUUCGUGGACCCGGCGCGGGACAAUUUUCGCACCAUGACUAGCCUCUACGGUUCCAUCCACCCGGCGGACUCGGUGUACCUCAGCACCCGCACCCACGGCGCAGUCUUCAACCUGGAGUACUCGCCCGACGGGUCAGUGCUGACAGUUGCUUGUGAACAAACUGAAGUUCUGCUUUUUGACCCUAUAUCUUCAAAGCACAUAAAAACACUUUCUGAAGCUCAUGAAGACUGUGUAAAUAAUAUCAGAUUUCUUGAUAACCGGCUGUUUGCUACCUGCUCUGAUGACACUACAAUAGCACUAUGGGAUCUGAGAAAAUUGAACACCAAAGUAUGCACUUUACAUGGUCACACUAGCUGGGUGAAGAACAUCGAAUAUGAUACUAAUACAAGACUCUUAGUAACAUCAGGAUUUGAUGGAAAUGUCAUUAUUUGGGACACUAACAGGUAUACAGAAGAUGGGUGUCCACAUAAGAAAUUCUUUCACACACGUUUUCUUAUGCGAAUGAGGUUAACACCAGAUUGUUCCAAAAUGUUGAUUUCAACGUCCUCUGGAUAUCUCUUAAUUUUGCAUGAUCUUGACUUAACUAAGUCUUUAGAAGUAGGCAGCUAUCCCAUUUUAAGAGCAAGAAGAACUACUUCAAGUUCAGAUUUGACCACUUCAUCAAGUUCAUCUGGUCCUAGAGUUUCUGGCUCACCUUGUCAUCAUAGUGAUUCUAAUUCUUCUGAGAAACACAUGUCACGAGCCUCUCAAAGAGAAGGAGUUUCACCACGAAACAGUCUUGAAGUCGUAACCCCUGAAGUUCUUGGUGAGAGUGACCACGGAAACUGCAUCACAUCCUUACAGCUGCACCCAAAAGGCUGGGCCACUCUUCUUCGGUGCUCAAGCAACAGUGAUGAUGAGGAGGUACAGGCAGCAGCACUCCACCUUCAACAGGGCUCAUUGGACAAAUUGCCAUUGCCGUGUGUGCAGACCUUAGGCCGAUCACUGACUGCAGUCUCUGCCUUCAAGGGCAUACUGCUAGAGAUCCUGCUUCUCGACUCUCCUGUUUCUGUCCUCUCUUGCUUCAUAUGGUAUCAUUAUCCCUUCCAAACUCUUCUUAUUCCUCUCCUGCUGGAGUUGAACAAGGUGGGACGUACUUUAAAGGCCAGCAUCAGCUCAGAUUUUGCCCAGCUUCUUAAAUCUUGCCUCCUUCAUCUCACCCCCCCGCAAAAAAAAAACAAAAACAAAAACAAAAACCCUUGUAUAAUAAACAUAGGUCUGAAAUGUUUCAGCUAAGUUGGCUAAAUGUGAGAUUUUACUAAGCCAAUUGAGUAUCAUAAUUUUCUUUUUUUAAAAACCAGGGGAAACUCUGGGAAAGGAAGGGACUAUACUGAUGACUAGGGGGAAAGGUGUUAAAUGACUUUAUGAUUCUCAUCACUCUGGAAAGCAAGAGUCUUCCAAGGAUCUCACUGGUCCUAGAGGCCACAACUGAAAGGAGAGAAGAGAAGAGCCUUUGAAUUGUGUAGGGGAAGAGUGUACUUGUGUCUAUGAAUUCCAAGAAGGAGCUCCAGUGCGACCUGUCUCACCUCGCUGUUCUCUACGACUGACUCAUUACAUUGAAGAAGCCAAUGUAGGCAGGGGUUACAUCAAAGAACUUUGCUUCAGCCCCGAUGGGCGAAUGAUUUCUUCCCCACAUGGCUAUGGGAUUCGUUUGUUGGGAUUUGACAAACAGUGCAGUGAACUUGUUGACUGCUUGCCCAAAGAAGCCAGUCCCUUGCGGGUGAUCCGUUCUCUAUACUCUCAUAAUGACGUGGUACUGACAACAAAGUUCUCUCCAACACAUUGUCAGAUUGCCUCAGGGUGCCUUAGUGGACGGGUUUCUUUGUAUCAGCCAAAGUUUUAGGCACAACUUACAUCAAAUAAGGAACUCUUCUGGUGUUUGACUUAGGAAUUACUUCAAUUUAGAUGAAGUAUUUUCUUUUUAGAAGAUCUGAUAAGUUUGGGUCAAGAUCCUGGUUCUUAUGGGUCCAUGAACACACUUGUGACCUUAGUACUUGGUCAUCCAGCAUCAUACAGGCAUCUCCAAGUUAGACUCUAUGCAGCAUCAUCUUUUUCAGCAUUCCUCUGCUCCUGCUGAUCUGUGCCACUGAACUCCAGUUCUUCUGGUCAUUUUGCAUGGUAGCUCUUGUCAAGUUCCUUUCUUCCUCACUAUUUCUCUCUUUUCCUCUCCCUGUCCCUCUCUUUCUUUGUAUUGAUUUUGGUGUCAAUUUUGUGGAAUUUGGCAGGAGUUUUGAUUGGAGUAGGAGAAACCCAUGACAUUAGAAUUGAAUAAAACCUAGAAACUGGAUAUUGGCAUAUUGGUUGUUGAAAAAGAAAUUUCAUCUUCACUUAUGAGUAUACUUGGUCUUUUAAAGUUGCUGUUAUGUUUAUCCAUAUUGAGCACAGAUAAUGGCAUUAUUCUUAUAAUUGUUAAGAUAAUCUUGCAACAAAAUGUCUUUUAAGUUUCCUGUUAAAAUUAUAAAAAGAUUUUCAUGGUGAGAGGGAUUUUAUUGUGAAAUUCUAGAAGCAAAUAUUACCACCUCUCUUUGUAAUUUACUUUACUUGUAUGAAUUUAACAUCUCUAGCAUGUA